GGCUUUAUAGUCAAUGUAUGAUUUUAAAUUGCAAGUUUGAAGUAGUGUGGAUUUAAGCACUAAAGCCU
rnacentral:tRNA from 1 species